CCUAACUGACACUGGGGCUAAAAUACACUCCAUUGGAACCUAUUAGGCGAUUCAUUGCCGGUCAGGUGCACUGGAUUUAAUUUAGAUGCAUCCAGAGUAAAAUGUGCUUAGUGCAAAUACACAUUACACAUGAAUAGGCUACAUAGGCCACAGUCAGAUUUUAGUUUCAAACUAAUAAAUCUGCAAGGUUGAGGGAAUUUGUCCUUCUGUUGCACAAUAAGGCAUCAUCCUGCUGGCUGGGCAGGGCAGGUGUGUGCUGAUGGUGUGUUGAGACCCGCAGAUUGGCACCAGAUCACGUGUGAAUCAUCAGGCUUACUAAGGCCAACACAAUCGUCUGCACAAGCGUUCCCAGCGUCCCACUGGGAGAGGCUCAACAGACUUAGUGGUGCACAAGGGCUGGUUUUAGCUGUGUUUGUGUUCACAGAGUUGGGCAAAUAAGAGGUUUAAGUCAGCUAUGAGGGUAAACCAUCCAACUGAUAGGAGAGAAAGAGGCAUUGAUGUGCGGUUGGACUUCUCAUGAAGUGACGUUUAUGGUGAGGAAGCAGGGCAAAGAAAGGUGAGUACUUACCAGUAAACCUGCAGUAAACCUGCAGGUUAAGAAGAAUCACACUUAAAUGGUGUUAUUUUGAGUAGAGGAGCUAUAUGAGGCUGACCAAAUGAACGGAUUCUGUGAAGUGUAAUUCAUUUAUCAAAAGAGCCAGAGCUCUGAAACGCUGUUGUGCUGAAGUUUAAAAGCAUCACAGAUGUCGUAAUGCGCCACUGUGUUCCAGUGGCAAAGAAAGAAACCUCAGAUCAUUGGUUUUGUUCAGUGAUCUAGACUCCUCACUGAGUUACCUUGUAAGGUAUAAACCUGCAGAGCCAAUAGGGGAACAAGUUUGACAAAGAACAAAGCAAAAGAGGAGCAUCAUUUUGUCGUUAAAGUGCUAAAUGCAUUUGGACAGCCUGCCUGCGUGAGCGUCACCUCCAGCAGUUUUAGUGAUGUCAUAACCUUUGGCACUUACUGUAGAAUUUCUAAAAUCUUACAGGACUUAACCUGUAAAACUGUACGGGCGAGAAAUUAUAAUAACUCCUGUCACACCGCACAAUGGAAGGUGCCAGAUUGCAUGACUUAUUGCUGUGGCGUUAAGCGUCCGACAGAUCCAACUGAGCUUUUAGUCUAUCAAUAAAAGAACUGCAAGCUAUGGAUGUUGACGUGCUCACUGUUAGAGACGGAUGCUGAAAGAAGGGAAGAGGGGAAGGAAGCAAGACGAUCUCAUGUCAGGGGAAAAGGAGAAGAAUGGGUCAAUAAUUGCCCAGUGUGAACCCAGGUAUUUGUAGAUCAUGCCUCUACAGUUCUACAGCUGCGGGAUCUGAAAGCGUCCAAAUGUGGUCUCCAUCUAAACGUAACUUUAUAAGACUGCAGAUUAUUUGAUUGAAUUAAUAGAAAACGGAAUAUAUCAACAAAACAAAUGCGUUUAUUGAUUUUUGCGACAAGAAAUGCUGUGUUUUACCACUGUCGGCUAUCGGCAGAGAAAAACGUUUGGCUGCUCCCUUUUGUGGGUCUAAAACUCCAGGAAUGAAUAUUUUUGAAAAUUGAGCUUAAACGCGUUUGGCACACCAAAUGUUGCGCAGAGAGGGUGAAAAAUCUGAAACAGUCCGUCAGCCACAAAAAGAUACAUCGGAGCGGCCUCGUUGACGGCUGUUUUUAUGGCACUCACCAAACCGGACCCUUCAGGAGCAGGUAGGGUGUGUGUCUGUGAAGGUAUCAGCACUGCAACAAAUGGCUGUAAAAACUACAUCAUGAAAACACAUCACAAAACGGAUCCCAGCCACCAUUUGAAAAUACAGCUCUUUACUGUGAUCUGAAAUGCGUUCGGAAAGUAUAUGGGUGCUGUGCUGUAAACUUUAAAUGUGCUAUUUUGCAUUAACUCUAGUCCGUUAAUGAUCGCCAGCUGGAGGCGAACUUUCACGGGGUGGAGGGCGGGCCAACAAUGACUUUCACCAGGUAAGUAAUUUUUAAAAAAACAUUGUAUUGCAGUUUUGUGUUUGCUUGUGGAUGGAAAUAUAUUUUAUGUGGUUAUAUUGAGCUACUGUUGCUUCUAUUACAUUGUUUGCUAAAGCUAACUUAUGGUAAAACUGUAAUUCUGUUACAGCAAAAUUGAAAUAAAAUACUAAAAAGACUGCAAUGAACUUACUGUAAUAAGUUUAUAGUAUGGCUACUGUAAAAAAAUUACAGUAAAGUCACUGUAAUUUUUUUUUUUUACUGUAAAAUUACAGUAACUGGCUUGCAACCCUGCUGUCAGAAAGUUACUGUAAAUACUACACUGACCUUUUUAACAGUGAGUCCAAGUGCUUGACUGUGAACAUCCCCGGUGUGUUAACUCGAUCUCUAACAAACUAUCCCAGCAGGGGUCUUCACAACUCUGUUAUGACAUCGCCAAUGGCCUGUUGUCUGCAGGUGCCACUUAACCUUUCACUCAACUCUCCUCGCUUCCCUGGCUCCGUUUCACUCUCCGUGAAUCCUGCAGCCGACUCGCUCGGUUCGGGGACGCGGAGUGAAACCAUCUGGGCUCUCUGUCUAUCACCCAGCUGCUGUUGUCAUCUGUGAUCUCAACAACUCUUUGUCACAUUCGCAGUAAUGCCUGUAAUAACACUUCUGCCGGUAAUGACAACAACAAUUCUCAGAGACAUAUUUAAAAAGAUCAUGGGCUUCUUUCUCUCCCUGUAGGUGUGGCCUGUUGUUACAGGCUCCACGCCGCUCCAUGAGAAAACUGAAACCCAGCUGAAGGAGCAAACAUGUUGUUCGCCCUUCGUAGCGAGUGGUGGUGCGCUUUCUAGGGAAAGGAUGGUUUAGAUGAAACGAGCAGGUUAGAGGAGAUGCUGUUAUGAGACCGUCCUUUUCCAGGGGCUUUUUGCCUUUAGGGGGAAAAACAAAAAACAAAAAAAACAUAUGGCCUUGAUGUUGACUUAAGGAGACGUGAUCCACAGGUUAUUACUGCUCUCUGCUUUCUCUUGCGCUCCCAUGACUCCUGGAUGAGUUUAUGUAAGCUAAGCAGAUUUCCUCCCGCCUGUCUAAACCCCCUCCACACACACACACACACGCACACACGCACACACACACACACGUUAGCCUCCAGGGCAAUGGAAGGCAGAUGCUGCUGUCAUAUCUCAUUUACACCUAUUGCUCUGCAGCUGUAAUAGAUAGAUGGUGAGUGUUUGUGAUACAAGUCUUUGCAAGCUGACAUUUCCCACCUGCAGGAAGGUUUCAGCAUACCUGAUUUACUUGCUUGAAAUAACAAAAAGAGACAAAGACAUCUUAGAUAUUUACAGACGCAUUUACAAAGGUAUACAAUUUGUAAAUCAGAUUUUAUUUGGAUAAAAAAAAAAUCCAAUAAUGGUGAUGAAGAAGAAAAACAUGUUUGCACAAAAAUCACUAUUCUGUUUGUUUCGGAAACAUUUGGGAGGAAAAGGGGGCAUUUUUCUGAUGCCUGCCACAAAAAGGCCUGAAAAACUGAUUGGACCAGAACUGAAGAUGAGAAGAGGGUGAGCUGGUGGCUCCAUCUUGUGGCCGAAAUGAAACAAUUACAACCUCAGUGCAAGCCUUAAAACAGCUUUAUAAUGGGUCCCUGCUCUUUUUACUCUGUAAUAUUACACUAACAAAAAAUAGCAGAAAGAAUAACAUUCUUAUUUACUGGGACUGCACUAUUGUGUAAGAGAUAAACAUCAGAGUGCAUCUCAUCUAUACUCAGAAGUGAUGAAACAAUGAGCAAAUAUUUAACCUCGAAGUCAGAAUUUAAAGUAGUCAGAGGUCAAGCUGUAAUCUCAAAAUCCAAUAUGUCUGGCUUGCAUUUAAAACCGAGUGGUAACCAUGAUUAGGUAAGUCUAUUAGUAGUUUCUUUUGAAUCUUUUACACAUUGCGAUUCAACAUCUUCUGCUGAACAAACCUAACAGUUUGGAGAGCGUGGUGAAGAGGAGGAUGUUGUUAUCCAUCAUGGCUAACCCUGAUUACUCUCGGAGCAGCCGAGUGUCUCCUUAAACACUUCUCCAACUGCGCUGCCAUGGCAACAGGUACAGGAAAUCACUCCUGCCUCAGGCCAUGACACCGUGCAACAGUCACCUCUGACUGCAAUGCUGAUGCCUCUUUUGCACUCAACUGUUUACACGGGCUUGUCAUUCCUACUUCAAGCAGAAAUGUAUCUUUUCUGCAUGUUGUUUGUAUAAAGUAUGCUUUGUUUUCUUAUUAUUUGUACUAUGUAUGUGCUUAUUUAGCUGCCUACCUCAUUAUUACCUUUUGAAGAUUUAGGGUUGAAAUGAUCUUUGUCUUUUAUCAACACGUUUCUUCUAUGUUAUAGUGAAUCCACUAGAGAAUCUGAGGGAGCAUUGUAACUUUUUAAUAACAUUUAAACAGAAGGAUAUUGUUUUUUGUUUAAAAAUUGACACUCUUUUUGCUUUUCUUUUAAAAAAUAAUAUUUCGAAAAAUACCAGACUCAUUUCCUAUCAGAAUCACACUUCUUUGUUGAGUGUAAAUAAUUCAAAAUGGAAAUUUUGCCAGGAGUAUGAAUAAUUCUGGGCUUAACUGCAUUUAUCUAGCAAAGAAAAAUAUUAUUAGCUUGUAUUGCCAAUGAGUUAACCUGGUUAUCAAGUAGCUCAUCACACUCUUUAAUGUCACUUGACUGAAAUAUUUUACAUUUUGUUAUUAAGAAUUUAUGUUUAGCUCUAACUUCAGAUUCAACAUGCAUAUUUCUGGUGCACUGUUCUCCUUAGUUCUGAUUCGGACUAUGAAUUUUUGUAAGUGCUUAGUCUUAAGACUUUUAUUGAAAGGUUUGACGAAGCAAAGGUCAAUGUUCUUGAACGAAAAUACACUAUCUUUGUUUGCUGGGGCUCAAUAGCUCAAUAUUUAAUUUGUUGGGGUUAGCUUGAAAAAUAAUACCACAAGAAGAAGAAAAACAACCUUUCCACGACGCAUUAUGAGAUAUUUUUCUAGUUUUAAAAUGUCAUGGUAGGUGUAACAGCAUCAAAUGCGUCCCAGCUUCCCUGUUCAGGAAGCUGCGCCGCCUUAAUUAGCCUGAUUGGUAACACCUGCGCUCUUCCGGCUCCUCCAGGUCGUCAUGGCGGCGGUGGAGAAGCUCUGCGGUCGGAAGAGGUCGCUGCGGGUUUAAGGUAGCCCGAACCAGAGGAGCUCUAUGGGUGUUCUGCCAACAGGAUGUUUUUCAGGUGAGAACAGCUUGUCACUUGCCAAAAGAACACCGAGUGUCUCUGUUAGUGCGAAAGCACCCGAAAAGUCGCUCCGUCGCUGAGCUAAACUUUGCUGGUUUGAAAAGCAAGACGUAGGCGUGGGAGUCUGCAACCUGCGGCUCCGGAACACAAUACUUCCACAGUAUGGCUCUUAAUAACUUGGCUAACAACUUGUAAAACCAACAAUUACAAAAGAAAAAGUAUAGAUGCAAUAAUAAAUUGGGAUUUUACCAGUUUUGUCUGUAUUGAAUUUGUACAGAAAAAUUAAUUUAAAAGCACCAGCAUUAGUGGGGUUUUUUUCUUGCCUUUAUGUUGGAAACGGUAUUUAUAUUGCGCCACAAACAAAAAUAUUCAAUAGGAGAAUAGGUAUCCAUCCUCUUUUUACAAAUAUUUUUUUCUUCUUUUUGUUAUUUUAAAACCCAAAAUUAUAGAUAGCAUAUUGGUUCUUUUAAAAUAACCUAAUUUUUUUCUUCUUUUUACAUUUUACAUUUAUAUUUAUCAAAAAAUGUUCUCAAAAAAUAAUGUAACAGUUGCUCUCUGGUCUGUAAAUUUUGCAGACUCCUGACCUUACAAUUAUAACAAUCUCUCCAACAACACAACAAAGAUGGGCUUUACUUUCACACCUCAACACAGCCAGAAGCUUUCACUGCACUGAUGCAGCAUUUCAGGCAAAAGGAACCGGGUCAAUACUUUUGAGUUGGUUAAAAAUGACUGAAUAAAAAAAUUAUUAUCGGUCUUCAAUAUUGAAAUUUUAGGAGAAUCAAACUCUUAAUAUGUAUUAUUGCCUGUUGAAUCUGUGUAGUAAAUCAGUUAAACUUUAUGAGUAACAGAUACAAGGCUUUCAUAAAUAUUAAAGUAUACUGAGAUCCAGCUGUAAAAUUAUAAUAUGAAUAACAAUGAGGUUAAAAAUGAUGCUUUAUGUUUGUGCAAUAAACAAAAUUUUAGUCCAGCAUGUUGUGAUGGUGGGGGCUGUGAAAUGUUUUCAGCAGUAGAUGGGUACAAGAAGCUAGUUUAGUUUUAAUCGUUGACUAAUUGUGGCAAAUGCAUGGGUACCUCUCCUCUUCAUCUUGUACGCUGUGAUUAUUAUUUUAAUAUUGUACCGUUUCCACAUGUCCAAAUAAAUUCUGUGUGUACGAAUGAAGAACAAAAUCCGAUGAAAAUACAAAAAUGAAAUAAAGCUAUUACAAUGUCAAUGACCGAAGUAAAAGAAAAGAACAAAAUGUUCUUAAAAAGAGGCUUAAAUCUGAGUCAUCGGAAACGCAAGCUGCCUGAGGAUUAAACAGACCUAUUAUUUUAAGAUCUUCUCUUUCACUCAAAGUGUGUGGAUGUGCACCAUUUGUCACCUGGACAACUGAGCGGUGAACCAGUUAGAAAGAGUUUGAGUCCAAUUUGAAACCGUGUAUUAGCUGGAGAUCAGCUGGCAGAGAAUGGUGAGUUAAAUAAUAAAGCUGUUAAAUCUGCAAAACAUGAUUAAAUCCCAAUUUGAAUAUUAACCACAAAGUGAUCUCUCGCAGAGUUAUCUUGUCAGUUCUCCUUUACUCUCUCAGGUUAUUGACGCAAUGCCCUCAGAUCCCUCUGACCUUGUGUCGUUACCAAAUACCUUCCUCUCUAAUUAAGAAGAAAACUCGUCCUUAGCUGCUUCAUCGUCACUAAAGGAGUGCACCCUCUGGGUCCCUGCCAGGUUGGUCAGUCCUCAAUGGAUGACUUUCCCCGCAGUGGCUGAGGCUCCAACUCUCCUUGUACUAGGAGGCAAUGCUGAACAUGCUGAGCUCAGUGGGGGGAAGAUCAUGAGGCGGGACAGCAGGCAGUGAAAGGAUCACAGCCCUCAGUGUUGACACAUUGAACUAAGGGUCGGGUCGCGGGGGUAGCAGUUUCAGAAGGGAGGCCCAGACUUCCCUCUCUCCAGCCACUUCCACCAGCUCCUCCGGAGGAAUCCCAAGAUGUUCCCAGGCCAGCUGAGAGACAUAGUCCCUCCAUCGUGUCCUGGGUCUUCCUCCUCCCGGUGGGACGUGCCUGGAACACCUCACCAGGGAGGCGUCCAGGAGGCAUCCUGACCAGAUGCCCGAGCCACCUCCACUGGCCCCUCUCGACGUGAAGGAGCAGCGGCUCUACUCUGAGUCCCUCCCGGAUGACGGAGCUUCUCAUCCUAUCUCUAAGGGAGAGCCCAGCCACCCUGCGGAGAAAACCCAUUUCGGCCGCUUGUAUCCGCGAUCUUGUUCUUUCGGUCAUGACCCAAAGCUCAUGACCAUAGAUGAGGUGGGAAGCGUGAGAUCUGACCGUAAAUCGAGAGCUUCGCUUUUUGGCUCAGCUCUUUCUUCACCACGACGGACCGGUACAGCGCCCGCUUGACGGCAGACGCUGCACCAAUCCGCCUGUCGAUCUCCCGCUCCCAUCUUCCCCCAUUCGUGAACAAGAUCCCGAGAUACUUGAACUCCUCCACUUGGGGCAGGACACCCCCCCUGACCCAGAGAAGGCACUCUACCCUUUUCCUGCUCAAACAUGGAUAAGAGAGUAGGAGCCAUUUAUAACCUCCCAAAAAUGUGAGGUUUUUCAUUUUGAAAAAAUGACUGAAUUAUGUAAACUUUGUCAGUUAAAUAUGGUAUGUUACUGUAGAGACUUAAAAUUAAGAGUGAAACUAGCAGUACCUAAAAAAUAUUUCUUGCUUUCAAAACAGUUUUGGGUUAGAAUAAAAAAUUUUAAAAAACCCACUUGUAAACCUCUUUUUGAAAUUUAAUAUUUACUUUCAAUUCAGACUCACAUUU